CUGUGACGUCAGCGGCGGAGCUGGGCUAGGGAUUCAGUGACGUCACUGGGCGCUCUUCCCCUCCCCCCCUAUUGCCCUACGUUGAAAAAGAAAAAGAAAAUUUGCCGUUUCGCAAAAGCCAAGGAAAUCAUUGAUCUGGGCAAUGAUCGUCGAUGGGCGUCAUAAAGCAGCAGAGCGAGCCAGGGAGGAGCAGAGAGAGAGGGAGACACAGAAUCCGAAGCAGGCUCCAGGCUCCGAGCUGUCCGCACAGAGCCCGACACGGGGCUCAAACCCACAAACCGCGAGAUCAUGACCUCAACCGAAGCCGGAUGCUUAACUGACUGAGCCACCCAGGCGCCUCACCACAAUUAAACAAUUUUAAAUGCUACCUUUCAUGCAAAAGUAGGUAGAGAGAGUGUGUGAACGGGGGAGUCGCAGAGAGAAUGGGGGACCGCUGUCAGCACAGAGCCCGACGUGGGGCUCAAACUCGCGAACCGCGAGAUCAUGACUCGAGCUGAAGUCAGAGGCUCAACCGACUGAGCCACCCAGGCGCCCCAGGAAAUAUGAUAAUAAACUCCGUCUUCCCAAUGAAUUCAGAGAGGUGUAAGGCCUUUCUCAAGUUCACAUAGGAACUGGAAUUUGAAUGCAGCUAUAUUGGGUUCAAAACUCUGAUUCUGUGUGGAGCACAAAAGAGCCUUCUGGUCAUGGGCCAGGCAGUCAAACUCAGACAGACAGCAAUUAUUUCCCAGCGAGUUUGUUCUUUGCCAGCCCUCGAGCCAGGCACUGGGGAUAUGGAGAAAAGGGCAGAAGGGUACGUCCCUGGAGAGUCGCUGGGAGAAGAGGAGGUGGGGGGAGCAUUUUAUUCAUCAGCCCUUUCAAAGCAGUACAAUCAGAUAUGACUCCCGCCUCCUGGAGCAUUGCCCGGGCCCAAGAUACCGCAGGGGGCAACAGAGGCCAGGAGUUUGUCAUGAAGAAAAGGACAAAGGGAUAAAGUUCGGAUCCAAAGAGAAUGUGUCAAGCACAAAUAACAGAAGUACACAGCGCUGCCCGCCGGCCCCGGGAUGUUUUAAGAUGCGCGUGUUGAAUCCUCCUUGUUUUACGGGUGAGAGAACCAAGGUACAGAGAGGUUAAAUGCCUUGCCUACUACGGUCACACAGCAGGAAAGAGGCAAAGGUGGGAUUCCAACGCAGCUCAGCCCAUCAUGGGAGCCCCUAGCAUUGUUUAUUUAAAUCGACGUGAAAUUGACGUAACGCAGAACUAUGUUAACGUGAACAAUUCAGCGGCAGAUUGGAUAGUCCCGAUGUUCUGCGACCACUACCUCUGUGCAAAACAUUUUCACCCCCGCAAAGGGAUACCCAGUAGUGAUCGCUCCCCAUUCUGUCCUCCUCCCAGCCCCUGGCAACCCACCAGUCCGCUUUCUGUCUCCAGGGAUGUGCUUAUUUUCGGUACUUCAGAUCAAGGCAAUCCUAUAAUAUGUGACCUUUUGGGUCUGGCUUCUUUCACUCGCUGUAAUGUUUUCAAGGUUCAACCACGCUGUAACGUGUAUCCGAACCUCAUUUCUUCUUAUGACCGAAUAGUAUUCCAUUGUAUGCAUCUACCACAUUUUGUCUGUCCAUACAUCUGUUGACGGGUCGUUCCUGCUGUUUGUGUGAAAAGCGCUAUCAACAUACGUGUACAUGUAACACCGAAA